rnacentral:rRNA from 1 species
CACGUAGGGGGCGAGCGUUGUCCGGAUUUAUUGGGCGUAAAGAGCUCGUAGGCGGUUUCGUUAGUCGGGUGUGAAAACUCUAGCUCAACCUGGAGACGCCACCCGAUACUGCGAUGACUAGAGUCCGGUAGGGGAGUGUGGAAUUCCUGGUGUAGCGGUGAAAUGCGCAGAUAUCAGGAGGAACACCAACGGCGAAGGCAGCACUCUGGGCCG